ensembl:lncRNA
UAUCAAACCAUUCUCAAUGGCAACUGGUUCCACACAAACCUUCAGCUCCAUUGUGUCCGAAAAGUUCGCUGACAAAACUCCGGUUACGGCAUCAUAUGACACAGUUGCAGCAGCCAUAAAGGAUCCACUCGUUUUGGCCAAAUUGCAGUUCUACGCAGCAAUUGCCAGGACCUUCAAUCCCUUCCUGAAAAAAUAUCAGACGGAUGAGCCUGUGCUCCCAUUCCUCCCCAAAGGACCUGACCGAGUUGAUGAUGUCUACUCAGACGCUUCAUAAAGAGAGACGUACUACACGAUAUCACUGCCCUGCAGCUGACCAAACUGGAUGUCACAGACAAGACCAUCUGGCUCAGCCCACAAGACAUCAGCAUUGGUCUAGGUGCAGAGUCAGUCCUUAAGAGAAUCAAAGGUGCAGAGCUCAGGGUGCUCGAGUUCAAGAGAGUGCAUGCAGGGACUGAGUAACAUGAUCAAGAAAGUGCAGGACAAGAGCCCCCUCAAGUAUCUGACUGUUAGGCAGAUGGUGUGCCUGAAUCCGUCAGUAAUGUAUAGAGAACCAGAAAGAGGCAGGAAUCACAUGAAAGGGCUGGUUCAAAGGUUUCUCCAGGACAAACAGCUUACUGAUACUUCUUC